rnacentral:rRNA from 1 species
AUUGAACGCUGGCGGCAGGCCUAACACAUGCAAGUCGAGCGGCAGCAGGGAGAGUGCUCCCGGUUUCAGCGGCGGACGGGCGAGUAAUGCCUAGGAAUCUGCCUGGUAGUUGGGGAUAACGUGCGGAAACGGGCGCUAAUACCGCAUACGUCCUGAGGAAGAAAGGGGGGGAGCUUCGGACCUCACGCCAUCAGAUGAGCCCAUGUCGGAUUAGCUAGUUGGUGGGGUAAAGGCCCACCAAGGCGACGAUCCGUAACUGGGCUGAGAGGAUGAGCAGGCACACUUGGACUGAGACAAGGGCCCGAAUCCUAAGGGAGGGAGCAGUGGGGAAUUUUGGAACAUGGGCGCAAGCCUGAUCCAGGCAAUGCGCGGUGGGGAAGGAGGCCCUUGGGUUGUAAAAGCCUUUUGUGGGGAAAGAAAAGCAGUAGGUUAAUACCUUGCUGUUUUGACGGUACCAAAAGAAUAAGCACCGGCUAACUUCGUG